rnacentral:rRNA from 1 species
AUGGAGAGGGCCACGACAACGUGGUUCCAUGCGCAGGCGGCGGCGGUGGCGGCGGCAGCAGCAGCGGAGGACGACCUAUUGCUGGCGUUGACGCCGGCGGGCAGAAGGCUAGACCGGUACGACGAUCAAGCGCAGACGGUGUGCGUGGACGGCAAGACGGUGCGGCUGUUCCAGUGCCUCUUCUGCGACAAGACGUUCCUCAAGUCGCAGGCACUCGGCGGCCACCAGAACGCGCACCGCAAGGAUCGCCUCGCUGGAGUCCUCGGCGACCCCUACAACAACGACAUCCCGUCGGGAGGUGCCGGCUGGUCCAUGUGCACUUACAUCGCCUCGCACGGCCGUGGCGCCGCCGUGGCUCCAGCCACCGAUGCCUGCACGCAAGAGAGAUGGGGAGGCGGCCGCGCUCCACGCUUCGCGGAGCCCGCGCCGCUCCUGGCCCCGUCCACUGGCCGCGACGGCAUGGGCUGGUCAAGGGCCUCUGGCGCUAGCAGCGCCGGCGAGGCGCUAGACGUCGAGCUGCACCUCUAG